AGAAACCAAAGAAGACACUGAAGGAGAUAACCAAAGAUUUAUGCCCAGUUCUUAGCAUACAACAGUUAUACAGAAUCAGUACUAUGUACUGGGAUGACAAGUAUGGCACGCAGAGUGUUACAUCAGAGAUCAUUUCAAGUAUGAGACUUGUGAUGGCCGAGGGCUCAAAUAAUUCUUCCAAUAAUUCUUUCUUGUUAGAUGAUAAUUCCAG